CCCUUAGACGUUCUGGGCCGCACGCGCGCUACACUGACCAGUGCAACAAGCAUCCGUCCUUGGCCGACAGGCCCGGGCAAUCUUUGAACGCUGGUCGUGAUGGGGAUAGACUUUUGCAAUUUUUGGUCUUCAACGAGGAAUUCCUAGUAAACGCAAGUCAUCAACUUGCAUUGAUUAUGUCCCUGCCCUUUGUACACACCGCCCGUCGCACCUACCGAUUGAAUGGUCCGGUGAAGCCUCCGGAUUGGCGCGCACCUCGGUGCCGCCGAGAAGUUGGCUAAACCUUACCAUUUAGAGGAAGGUGAAGUCGUAACA
rnacentral:rRNA from 1 species